UCGAGUUUUGAAUGGGUUGUCUGCUGGCUCGCAAGGGCAUGUGCACGCCUGUCUCAUCCACUCUCAACUUCUGUGCACUUUUCAUAGGCCGGCUUGUGGGUGCGUUCGCGCACUUGUAGGUGUCGGGCUUAUGCUUUACUACAAACGAUUCAGUUUUAGAAUGUCAUACUUUGCUAUAACGCAAUUAUAUACAACUUUCAGCAACGGAUCUCUUGGCUCUCGCAUCGAUGAAGAACGCAGCGAAAUGCGAUAAGUAAUGUGAAUUGCAGAAUUCAGUGAAUCAUCGAAUCUUUGAACGCACCUUGCGCUCCUUGGUAUUCCGAGGAGCAUGCCUGUUUGAGUCUCAUGGAAUUCUCAACCUUCAGCUUUAUUGAUGAAGGCUUGGACUUGGAGGUCGUGCCGGCUCUCGUAGUCGGCUCCUCUGAAAUGCAUUAGUGCGAACGUUACCAGCCGCUUCAGCGUGAUAAUUAUCUGCGUUGCUGUGGAGGGUAUUCUAGUGUUCACGCUUCUAACCGUCUUCGGACAAAUUUCUGAACUCUGAGCUCAAAUCAGGUAGGACUACCCGCUGAACUAUAAGCAUAUCAUAAGCCGCGGAGAGAGA
rnacentral:rRNA from 1 species